rnacentral:rRNA from 1 species
UACGUAGGGUGCGAGCGUUGUCCGGAAUUAUUGGGCGUAAAGAGCUCGUAGGCGGCCUGUUGCGUCCGCUGUGAAAUCCCGGGGCUCAACCCCGGGCCUGCAGUGGAUACGGGCUGGCUAGAGGCAGGCAGGGGAGAACGGAAUUCCUGGUGUAGCGGUGAAAUGCGCAGAUAUCAGGAGGAACACCGGUGGCGAAGGCGGUCUCUGGGCCUGUACUGACGGCUGGAGGAGCGAAAGCGUCGGGGAGCGAACAGG